rfam:Nitrosomonas cryotolerans ATCC 49181 genome assembly, contig: G345DRAFT_scf7180000000008_quiver.2
CAACCUACGAGGAAAGACCUGUAAGAAACUGCUAGUAAAACUGUGAAUUGAUGAGCAAAAAUACCGCAUGAGGCGCAGGCUGAUGGCUAGAUAGUGCAAAACAUCGAAGUCACAUAAUCUAACAGCCGCUUUAAACGGUGUAAAUACUGAAUUGUCUU